rnacentral:lncRNA from 1 species
CUCCCUCCUCCCCCACCCGCCUCUCUGCGCCCCUCUCCGCCCCGCCUCCCUCCUAGGUGAAGGAAGAUGAUUUCCCCCCCAUCUUGACCACCCCCCAGUCUUCGCCGCCAAAAACGGACUCCGCCGGCUAUCCUCGGCCCGGUACCAGUUGUUGGAUCCAAGAGAAUUCCGGAACCCAAACGGUCCAUUACCGCGGCUCUGGGGCUCGCUCAAAGCACUUUAUUGGCAGUGAAACCGCAAGUAACCCGGAGCCCUCGGCGCGACCACGGCUAGAAUCAGAGCCUAAGGCGUGUGAGCUCAGCCAUCCCACGUCUGUCUUCACGCUCAUACGCAAGCCCGACACACCGGGGCUCCCACUUAAUGAAUACUGAAGAGUAGGGCUGUCCCUACCGCUUCUCACUUCCUUGUUUUCAUCUUUUCGUUAUUAUUAAGCGACCUAACACAAUAAACAUAUUACCUUGUUGGUAA